GUAUGAUUACUAAAUUGUCCCCGGCUAUAUCCUCUAAAUCACCAGCCCAGUUCUUUCUUAUUCAGUGUCGAGUUCUCUCGAACUCUCUUCAUCUCUCUCGGCUCUUCUCUCUCUCUCUCUGAUUCAAAUGACGAGACUGUGAAACUUAGGAAAGGAAAGGCUUUGUUAGGUGACAGUUAGAGAAUUACUUGGCCAAGUGGGAAGCGAGUUGAGGUGCAAGUAGGAGGCCAGGCAAGGAACCCCUAGAAGCAUCUAUACAGGAGUUUAGUAAGCUUUAUCCAGUGAAACCCGAGAAUGACCCGUCUCAAGCAGACCGCUCGUAAGACCACCUCAGGCAACGGGAUUGCUUUCCGCCGUAUGAUGGGACUGGUUGGGAACUCGUAGUUCCCUAGUUAUUUUCCUUUGAACUUUUGGGAUUUAAAAACUGUAGUUUGACUUAGACUUAAUUUGGAUUCUAUUUGGGUUGUAAUAACUUUAGUUGUUGUUCAUACUCAUUCCUGGUGAUUCCGGGAGUGUGGAUUUAGACUUGUAGAUUAAUAUUUAUAACUCUGUAGUUUAAUCAUAUUUAUCGAUUUGCAUGC